AUUGAAUUCUUUUAUUUUAAAUAUUCACAUUACAGGAAUUCAUUAGGUCAGAAUAGAACAUCAUUAUUUACACAUUCAAGGAAUAACUCCAGUGCUAAAUCAGCGAGGUACUUACACUGAAUUUAGGAAAUAUGACUGAAGAGAGAGUUUCUUCUUACACAUACAGGCUCAAAUCCUUUAUACAUUUAUUUCUGCCUUGGAAUCUUAGUACAUAUUGCUGAAAUCACUAUUAAUUGCUGAAUAAAAUUUCACAAAAUUAUAGCAAUCACACCAUAUAUUUAUAAGCCUAGAAAGACAUCCAUGAGAAGGAAUCCAUGUUGUGACAGCAUGUUUAAGGGAAGAAAAUUUCAAAUGACAUCUCCAGUUUAAUUUGUGGAAAACACGAGUUCUCCAAAUAGCUGAAUAUACAGAUUUUCUCUGGCAUCUUGCCUUUCAUGGCUUAUUAAAAUAUUUGCUUAGCUGCCUUAAAGUGUUAUGUUAUUUACAGUUUCAAUCAAUGAAGGGAACAAUGUGGUAGCAAACUAAGUGCCUAGAUCAAUGUUAGCUGAAUGUCACACACAUACACUAUCUUGGUUGGUAAAGUCGGCGUCUACAGUGCUAGGACUGACUACUCCUCAUUUGAAUUAAUGCUUUGCUCCCAGGAUGCAGCAGGACUCAGCUGCAUGAUUUUCACUUGGAAUAAUAGCUACAGUCAAUUUUUCUUAUCAUUAUACUAACUUCACUGAAGCUGUUAAAUUGAACUGGAAGGAACCAAUCUUCUGUAAAUAAAUAAAUAAAUAAAUGUAUAAAUAGGAUUCCCAUCAUUUUAAUAACAUAGCAAUGAAAUUACCUUCCAACAGUGUAAAUGCUUACUGUCAUGUUUUAAGUCACUAAGAGCUACGUUCCAGCCUUAAUAUAUUACCAUGAAUGAUUAAUUUCAUGGGAGGAGAGAUGAUUGAUCCACACAUAUUACCUGUUUGGGAUUAAGCCCUUUCAAAAGCACAGGUAUGUUUUCUGAAUAAAAGAGAAAAGCUAAACAAAACAAACCCUUCAUUAAAUGGAAUAAUUUUUGUUAUUUUCAAAGACUGCUUCAAAUUAUCUGCAUGUAAAGGCUCCUCUGCAGCCAACAUUCAUAUUUUUAUACAAUUUUUAUUACUUAAGUUAAUAAGUAAAAGGGUAGGCCUACUUUUUCUUCCCCUAGUGAUUACACUGGUUGACUGUCAAGACUGCCUAGAUGUUCUAUGUUAUUGCCCAAUUUAGUGUUGUGCAGACCUGACCUCAGGUGACUGGCAGUAGUACUGAUUUAGGCAGUGUAUAAAAAGAUAUACCAUUCUCAGUUAUAGAAAAAGCUGCCAGAAUAUUAUGUUCAUAGAAUGAAACUGGUUAAGAUGAUAUUUUCACAUCUUCAUGCUUUGUACUAUUAAGUUGUUAUACAGUAAAUUGUAUCACUUGCCAACAAAUAAUUUGUUGUAUUUAUUGCCAACAAUAACUCCAAAAAUAAAGUUUUGGGAGAAAAUUUACCACAAUAUGCUGCAGUUAGAAAAAAGAAACGCAGCAUUGUUUAUUGGCUCAUUAGCACUAUGAAUAACAUUUUCACUUUACCAAAUGUUGAAAAGGGACUUUUGAAAGGACGUGAAUCAUGCAUACGGAUUGAGACAGAGCCUGUGUGUGAGUGGCAGUGUAAAUGUCCCCAAAGCUGCAUGAUUCACCAAUUGCAUGCAAUUUUUCACCUAAUAUAAACACAACCUUAAUAUAGUCAUAUAAUUUCUAACACAUCUUAUUUCAAACAUGCAUUAGCUACUAAAAUAAGAUUUAAAGAAAAGUUGAUGUUUGAUAUAAAAUAAUCAUGUUUUUUUCAAGUGUGGAAAAAUACUCUACAAAAAAAUAAGUAGAAAAAUGAUUUCUGAUCAACAUGUGAUUUUAUCUAUAAAAAUCCAGAUGACUAAUUAGUGUGCUUAAAAUAACCCUAUUGGGUCUGCAUCGCAAUAAUACAUACACAGAAAGUUAAUAGCAAUAAACAACUAUUAGCACAAUGCAAUUAAAUUCUUAUCAGAAAUAACACGAACCUAUAAACUGUACAUUUGGCAUUAUGUUUCAGGGUAUUUUUAAGAGUUUGAUUAAAUAUGACAAUACAAUAGUGCAAAAUUACAUCACAUUAAUAAAACAUACAAUUACCAUCCAAAUAAUUUAUGGAUUACUGACCCUUACAAUUCACAUAAUGGCUAGAAUUGUCACAUUUUGUUUCAGAAUAAUAGUUUUGACCUUCCUUGAAUGUAAGUCAUUUUAUUCAAAGUUAUACUUGAACUACAUAAAAAAGAUAUUGGCAUAUGUGUGUCUAUAUGUGCAUUCUUGAGGGAAUGAGGCAAGAGAAAUCAUGUAAAGUCCUAACUCUUCAUUUUCAGAACUUCAUUGCAGUAUUUUGCUUCAGCAACCUUUUAUUCAGAGCUCCUGAAGCAAUUACACAUUAACUUCUUCCCCACCCCUUGUAGUGACAUGGCCACAUGGAAAUGCGCAGUAAGAAAAGAAGAAAACAUCUGCACGAAUAUAUGGCAGUUUGUGCACUGUGCCAGGCUAAUUAAAUUAGAAUUUCUAACCAAUUCAUCAAGAUUUAUUAAGAGCUUCUCAGGUACUUCUAAUGUACAGUCCAUCACACUCCUUUUACAGAUUAAAAAUCUAUGGCUCAGAAAUGUUAGUGAAUUAUACAGCAGAUUGUGAAAACUGGAACUUGGGCUUUGAUCCUUAGUUUACUACUCCUCUUCUUGUUUCUUGUUGACACUUUUCUCCUUUUUGCCGCUUUGUGAACUUGAAUCUAGGUACAGACUUGUUAGCUCCUUACUUUUUCCAUUUAAAAAUCUCUUCUCUACAUUCGUAUUGUCUUGGAAUCAGAAUAAGACAUAUUAUUAUAAUGAAGAUGUUUAACCUCAACAAUUUCAUUCAAGUAAUUUUGACCAGUUGCAUUUCUGCAAGCACACAUUACUUCCUACCUUCAUCUCAUACAUUAUUUACCUUUUAGGGAUUCUAUAACAAUGCCAUUUUAUAUUGUCACAAUUACUCCCUUAACCCCGAUUAAGCUGAAAGUUCUUUUUUUUCCCUUCUAAGUAAAAUCUUGUUCUCAAAUAUGAUAGUCUUUGUUUUUUGAUUAAUUAUUUUAAAAUCACAUAUGAAAUAUUCAAGAUAGAUUAUCUUUUAUCUAAAAAGUAGACUACUUCCAGGUUUACAUAGACAAUCAGAUAAUCUUCAUUUGCUUAAGGACUCUUGAGGCAGAAAACCAGUAAAUGAAAAGCCUGAUCUCAUUACAGUCCCUGGAGACAUGUAUUCCAUCCUAGAUGAGCUCAUAUCCUCUGGCAAUCUCACCUUGGACAAGGAUGGCAUCUUCAGGAUUAUCUCAUUUAAGGAACUGAAGGUGGCUAAUGAGGCCAAUCUGAGACUGGAGAUGUGAUAUUGUAACUCUGGCCCAUAUUUCUCACAUAAUGAGUGGUAGUCCUGGGUUGUUAAUUUAGCCUUUGGAUACUGCUUCUGCAGAGACUGCCUUUCUAUUUCCUGAACCCUCAUUAAUCAAAAUGGAAUGCAGCCAUGUGUGGAAAGUUAGCAUGUUAGCAUAACUUUCUGUAGAAUUGGCCCUUAAAAUUUUUCAGAUAAAAUCUAUAUUUGUUUUCCACAAUAAAAUUCCAGCAAGCUAUAACUUAACUUACUUUACUUACACAACUAAUUCAAAAUUGUUUGGUUUCCAGAGAACUCAGAAAAAUAAAUCAGUUUUUGAAGUUUUCUAAUGUUACUGACAUAACAGACAUUUCUAAUACUCUUUAAAGGAACACAAUUAGAAACUACUUAAAAAUACUAUUUUGAAUAUCAUUCUCUUUUUCAUAUAGAAAAAUAGAAAUUUUCCUUGAGCCUACUUUUUUAUUCUAACAUAGUACAGCUUUAAAUUUGUACACUUGAACAACUGAGAUUAUUCACGUCAAAGCUAUUUAUUAUGCAAUUAUGGUAGCCUUAAUCACAGGCUGGCUAACAAUUAUUUUAUUUCUGAACCACUAGAUAAAUACUCCUGUUUAUUGAAGUUAUACCCUAACAUAUUAAAAGCAACUUUUAGCUUUUUUUUAAAUUAGUUUAAGAGUAGAUGGAGACUUCCUAACAAAUCAUUAACUAGUCCUGUGUCAAAACUAGUGGACCAGCUGAAGUGAUGGAUUAAGUCAAACUGUUAAAUAUUGCUAGGCCUUUUUCUUUACCAGAAAAUGAUCUCUGAGAAUCUUCUUGCUAUCCUAUUCUGUGACAUGCGCUAUACCAACUGAUAAUAAGUUAAAUUGACUACAAAUUUACUGAUUGCUCAUAACAGGGAGAGAAAAUUAGGACUGCUUGAGUUCCAAUUAUCUUAAGAAAUGGUAUAUAUAUUUAGUAAUGCAAACAAUGCCUAUUCACCACCACUGCCAGCUCCUCACACCCCUUCCGUAACUUAGUAAUUAUGGGAAACAUGAAUAUAUGCUUCCAUGCUGUAUUUAUUUGUUUCCGUUUUGCUGAAUGUUGUUCCUUCGGCUUGUAUAAAAUUUCAAUGAUUCCUACAAACUGCCUGUUUAAUGUCUUCAGAGUUUUAGAAUUAAAAUUGUGAAAAUAGCACUGGAUUCCUCACAAUUAUCUUUUAUAAGAAUAAAAGAUAACACUUGAACACAUAUCUAGUCACCUGAAUAUAAUUUCUCAGAAAUAUGCUACCUCUGCUUUACAGCUGCAAAAUCUGAGGAUAAGAGAAGUUGAGUAACUUGCACAUAGCUAGUGAAUGGCAGACCUUGGAUUCAAUUCUAAAUCUGUAGUUGUCAAAAAUUUGGAUGCUACAAUUCUUUGCCAUAUCUCAAUUGCAAAUUACCUAUCAGACAAGGAGACUUUGGAACCCAAGAAUGUGGUCUCUUAAACACAUACAAUAGAAAAGCAGAUCACAGAAGCAUAUAUCCUAGUAAUUGUCUAGACCAGUCUUUCCUGUUGCAAAAUAUAAACAUGCAGUUAGAACCUAGAAAGCAAAUUAGAGAUUUUUUUCAAGAUAUAUAAUCUUUUAUUUUCCUAAUAGUUCCUCCAAGACGAGAACUGGUGAUUUCCUGAGGUAUGCCUGCAUUAGUAUUACCUGUGGAACAUUUACACCUGUUAGACUUCUGGGCUCUUCCUCAAACUAAAUAGAUCAGCUCUCUGGAGGUGGGGUUUGGACAUCUGCAAUUUUAAAGCCUCUCCAGAUGGUUCUAAUGUGCAUUCAGGUUCGCGAACUACUAUAAGCAACUCGCAACUGGAAAAAGUGUCUGGAGACUAUAAAUAACCUGCCCCAAGUCACAAGACUGUGUUAUCAAACCAUUGAGAGAAACAGAACUUUCCUCAAAGCCAAGAAACAGCUUUCAAAAGGAAGUUUCCCAAAAACUCUUCUAAAAGUACCAGCAUAUCUUCAAACCAAAUGGAGUCUCGCUUUGUCAUCCGGGCUGGAUGUGGUGCGAUCAUAGCUCUGCCUACUCGAACUCCUGGGCUCAAGCGAUCCUCCUGCUUCAUCCUCGCAAGUACCUGGGACUACAGGCACAUGCCACCACACCCAGCUGAGAGCUUAUUUUGUUGGAUACUAGACAUAUGAAGUACUGAAAUACAAAGGGAUUAGGACUGCAAACAAGUUUAUAAGAUUCCAAGAUUGCAGUGAAUUCGUCUGACCCAGAUACGACAGAAGAUCCUCUCUGGUGAAUAUGUGCAACCGUUCUGAACCUCUCUUUUGAAAACUUUACUCUUCUUCUGAUUUGAUUCCAUAAUUGGAAAUUAAAUGGAAACUCAUGCCUUCCUAAAAGUGUUGUAAUUACAUAUUUUGUAUUUCUUUUACCUGAAGUUGUCUGUUGUCAUCUUAUACAUCUUACUUAGGAGCCAUUGACCUUGUGGCAACGCUCCGAAGCAUCACUCUCUGUUCAAGGCACCACACACCUGCAGUGAAGAUGCAGGGAUUAGGUGUAUGUUUCAGGUGUCUAUAGUAGGCUCAAGUUAGCUCACUUGUCUGGAAACUUCUAAUACCUUCAGAAUCAUAGCCCAGCUUAAAGUCUUAGCCAGUAUUUCUGUGCACAUUUCACUGGUAUUACAAAUCAAUCACUGUCACAUUCACCUCACUCAUCACUGCAGUAAUUAUUUUAAGAACUUGUGCUUGUGCCAUUUUGUAUUCACAAUUAGGUAUAAUUGGC
rnacentral:lncRNA from 1 species